UUGACAUGAAAUACAUUCACCUGGUGAUUCAGAUUCUAAUCUACUGCUAAUUGAAAGAAGACUUAAACCUUCAGUACUCCGCCUCUAAAACUGUUCAUAACUAAUAGAAUUCUAUCCUGAGAGCUGCAGGAAGCGCCCUGACCAUUACACCACUGGUGAAGUAGCCUGAAUUUCCACAAAGCACAAAUCUCAAGCCCACCAUUAACAAGGAGAUUCACAAGAGGACUUGGUCUCCAGCCUUGUGCAGCGUCAAGUUGCACUAGCUGCAUGGACCCUGGAAUAAGAGCUUUGCGGCUAUUUCAUGUGAUUGUUGGUUUGUCCAAUUGCUUAUGAUCCCCCUAAAAUGGGGGAUCUCUGUAUUAAAAGCAACAUGGUUC